AUCCCAGCAAAGCUGCCACUCUCCUUGACAGUGCAAAAAGACGACUUUAUUACAAGCCUUUGCCCAGUGGAGACAUCUUGCUUGUAUUGUAACCUGCCUUUAAGUGAGCCUGUUUGUAUUACGAGGAAUGCCAAAAUUGUGACAUUAAAAGGAAUUAUUGAAGGGGUUUCUGUAUACGUAAAGUUCUGCGAUGAAUGUAAGCUUCCGUACAGAUACCAAGAGUUCAGUGAUGGUGUGCAUAAUUUUAACGAUAACUGGAUUCUAAGCUUGGGGUUAUGCGACAUGUUACGAAAACAUCUUCAGGUAUCGAUGCAAGUUUGGUCAGGUUACAUGUAUAUGCGUACAUGUCUGGAUUUAGGCUUACGCGUCAUGUUCCAAAUGACAAAACGCAGCAAGGGGUGUGAUUUUAUUAGAGUUUGUUAAAGCGACUUUACUCGGUAAAAUACACAUAGUAAAAAUACAAAAAAUCAAGAAGUCUUGUGAGAAUCAAGUUUUCGGCCUCUGUAAAUCUUUAUCAGAUUUGAUUUAUUGUGCGUUGAUUUGAUCGAUCAGCGUGUUGUCUGUAGCAUUUAGGCACCGAGAGAAUUUGCGCCGGGUAUUUUCCGACAAAGCAGUAUUUUUAUAGGAAAACUCUCAGCCCUACUUUCCAUUUCGGAGAUACAUUACGUCCCUUUUGUUGUCAUUUACAGCAAAACGUGCAAUGUACAAACGAAGUUACGAAACCUUCUUGAGUUCCAAAAAUUAUUCGUUCUAAAUUCUUGCAGCCGGUAGUCUAGAGUAGAGCAUUAUGGGAAUCGAACCCAUAUACUUAGAAAAGAAAACCAUUAUGCUCCUUUGAACGGCAAGAAUAUUUUUUACAAUAUUUUUGUGGUUGCCCUUGGUAAUGCUGGCUUAUAUAAAAUACGAAUAAAGAAUUUGUUGCAUCAACUCAAUUAUUUAGGCCACAGUGUUCUAUAGUUCCCACAAGUUGCAAAUAGUAUUACCAUAAAAUAUUAUAGAAUGGGGCAAUUUUUGGGUGUAUUUAGUGCUUAUUUAACACAUAAAUACAGAAGGCAUUGUUAACCUCCGAAGUUAUUCUGAAGUUAUAAGACUGUGAACUUUGACCGAUAGAGAUCAAUAGAAAACAAAUAUUUAGUCUGAUGUAUUAUAGAGGCUACCGUUUAUUAGCUAAUAAA